rnacentral:misc_RNA from 1 species
AAAGUCGUAACAAGGUCUCCGUUGGUGAACCAGCGGAGGGAUCAUUACCGAGUUUACAACUCCCAAACCCCAAUGUGAACGUUACCAAACUGUUGCCUCGGCGGGUCUCGAGACGCCCGCGUCUCCGCCCCGGGCGCGUCGCAGCCCCGGACCAAGGCGCCCGCCGGAGGACCAACUUACAAACUCUUUGCAUGAGUCCCCUCGCGGAUUCUCUUUAUUUUUAGCUUCUGAGCUUUCUCGGCGCCCCCUAGCGGGCGUUUCGAAAAUGAAUCAAAACUUUCAACAACGGAUCUCUUGGUUCUG